rnacentral:rRNA from 1 species
GACGAACGCUGGCGGCGUGCUUAACACAUGCAAGUCGAACGGAAAGGCACUGCUUUUGUGGGGUGCUCGAGUGGCGAACGGGUGAGUAACACGUGAGUAACCUGCCCUUGACUUUGGGAUAACUUCAGGAAACUGGGGCUAAUACCGGAUAGGAGCUCCUGUUGCAUGGUGGGGGUUGGAAAGUUUCGGCGGUUGGGGAUGGAUUCGCGGCUUAUCAGCUUGCUGGUGGGGUAGUGGCUUACCAAGGCUUGGACGGGUAGCUGGCCUGAGAGGGUGGCCGGCCACAAUGGGACUGAGAUACGGCCCAGAGUCGUACGGGAGGCAACAGUGGGAAGUAUUGCACAAUGGGCCGAAGCCUGAUGCAGCAACGCCGCGUGCGGAAUGACGGCCUUCGGGGUGUAAACCGCUUUCGCCUGUGACGAAGCGUGAGUGACGGUAAUGGGUAAAGAAGCACCGGCUAACUACGUG